CCCUUAGAUGUUCUGGGCCGCACGCGUGCUACACUGAGUGGAUCAGCGGGUCAGGUUGCGCGAAAGCGUUUCCUAAUCUUUAAAUCCGCUCGUGAUGGGGAUUGACGGUUGCAAUUUUCUGUCAUGAACGAGGAAUACCUUGUAAGCGCGGGUCAUCAUCCCGCGCUGAAUACGUCCCUGCCCUUUGGACACACCGCCCGUCGCUCCUACCGAUUGAGUGGUCCGGUGAGGCUUUGGGAUCUGAGCGGAAAGAGCGUUUCGCUGUUUCUGCUCGGAAAACUCAGUCGAACCUUAUCAUUUAGAGGAAGGAGAAGUCGUAACA
rnacentral:rRNA from 1 species